rnacentral:rRNA from 1 species
AUUUCCCAUACCACCCUGUAGGCACCCAAUCUCAGAAGCCAAGCAGGGUUGGGCCUGGUUAGCACUUGAAUGUGGGGAAAAAUA